AGAAUAUGUCUGAGACGAUCUACAACGUAUAAGGUUCAGUAUUCCACUUUUGAAUAAUCAAAUAGCAAGCUUGCAACAAGGUAAAUCAAUCUAAAAAAUAUACUUCGAUUGAAUGUUAUUUAUUGGUUUAGUCGCCACUCGCCAGUGAAAGGUCUUUUGCUAUUAUUUUGGGUUGCAACUGGAUCCACUUUCUGCUGAUGUUUCUGGAUGCAGUUGAAGCCACUUAUGCUGCUGCUUCUUGGAUAUUACUACAAACACCUUUAAAGUUGUUCUGGAUGCGAUUGGAACUACUUUUGUUGCUCUUUUUCUAGAUGCUGCUACAGUCAUUUUUGUUGUUGUACUAUUAGGUUAGUCCAGCUGGUUACACAUCAAACUCUUCAGUACUUUUAACUUCUAAGAUCCAGGUCCAUCCAUUUUUGUUUCCUUUUGUAUAUGCCCUGUGUUCGAGUCUCCCCAAGAGCGAGGUGGGAAGUUCUUGGAGGGAAGGAUGCCUGGGGUCUAUUUGGAAAUAGCCUCUCUACCCAAGGGUAGGGAUAAAGUCUGCGUACAUACUACCCUCCCCAGACCCCACUAAGUGGGAUUAUACUGGGUUGUUGU
rnacentral:lncRNA from 1 species